CCUACGGGAGGCAGCAGUGGGGGAUAUUGCACAAUGGGGGGAACCCUGAUGCAGCGACGCCGCGUGUGUGAAGGAGUGCUUCGGCAUGUAAAGCCCUUUCGGCAGGGAAGAAGGAUGACGGUACCUGACUAAGAAGCUCCGGCUAACUACGUGCCAGCAGCCGCGGUAAUACGUAGGGGGCGAGCGUUAUCAGGAUUGACUGGGUGUAAAGGGAGCGUAGACGGCGAUGCAAGCCAGGAGUGAAAGCGCGGGGCCCAACCGGGGGACUGCCCUUGAAACUGGAUGGCUGGAGUGCGGGAGAGGCAGGCGGAAUUCCUGGUGUAGCGGUGAAAUGCGUAGAUAUCAGGAGGAACACCGGCGGCGAAGGCGGCCUGCUGGACCGCGACUGACGUUGAGGCUCGAAAGCGUGGGGAGCAAACAGGAUUAGAUACCCGGGUAGUC
rnacentral:rRNA from 1 species